AUCCUAGUAUUUUAUUUGCUUGGCUUGAUUCUCAUCCGUGAUGGUGGAAAUUAUGGGAUAAUCAAAUCAAAUGUCUUGAGCAUUUCAACAUACUAAAUGUAAUUGUACCUCCCUUGUAUCAAAAAGGAGGGUCUGUUGAUAUUGUAAGACUAGGAUCUGGUAAGCUUGCCGGAAUAUCAAAUCCUGACAUGAAGUCAUCGCCAAAAAUCACAGCACCUGCAGCCAGAGCCCCAGCACCAACUCCCAUUGCUAAACCAGGUCUGGCACCCAGUCCAGGUGCUGCUGCAGAUGAUGGCAUAUUAAUGUAGUCUGAAUUUGGAAGAAAAGUGGGUACAUAGCCAACGUUAGAAGGCGGUGGUGGUGGUGGAGGAGGCGUGCGUGGUGGAUGAUAGCUGGGUCCAGCUGCUGGGGGGUAACUUGGUCCACCCAUGGAUGGAUUGGAAUAAUUUGCACGAUAAGGCGAUGGAUGAGCAUAUGAAAAAUUUGAUGAUUGAUUUUCUUCAGAAGACAAUGCAAUGUUGCCACCAUUAUCCAUCAGCACAAUCCCUCCUUCAUUGGCUGCGUAUGAACUUGGCUCUCCCCUGUCCUCUGAGACACGAAUAGAAAUAUCUAUAAACCCUUGUGGUUUGCCGGAAUUUCUUUUGCGCAGUUGGUAGCUCCCCACUUCUUCUUUUCCUGGCCUUGAGGCCUCUGAGCUUUUGCUAUACUUGGCCAAGAAUUCUUUCAGGAGGACAGUUGCAGUGCCUUGAAGUCUUUCUCUGAGGAAAAUGGGCUCUCUGCUGUAUACCUCAACAUGUAGUGCUAUAUCUUGAAAGUUUGCAUCAUCAACCAAGGUAGCAAACUUGGUUUUCCAUAUGGGAUUUGCGUUCCCAGAGGCAUCGAUCUUGGUGCAAUAUUUGUUGUUAGGAUCAAUCCAACCAACGGCAAACCACUGAAGUUUCCAGAGGGAGGAAUUAUGUCGGAGCCCACGAGCAGAUAUGAAGCAAACUUCAACCCAAAUUUUGCCCAUACUAAACAGCUGAAAAUUAGGAGAUGGUUAGGGAACCUGUCCUGUGUAAGGAUUUUCUUGACAAAGUUGGAAUGGAAAGUUAAAACUAUUUGGCGUUAUCCAUAAGGCUACUUUACUUUUAUGGAGAGCAAAUUCUUGC
rnacentral:misc_RNA from 1 species